rnacentral:rRNA from 1 species
UACGUAGGGGGCUAGCGUUGUCCGGAAUCAUUGGGCGUAAAGCGCGUGUAGGCGGUCCGGUAAGUCCGCUGUGAAAGUCGGGGGCUCAACCCUCGAAUGCCGGUGGAUACUGUCGGGCUAGAGUGCGGAAGAGGCGAGUGGAAUUCAUGGUGUAGCAGUGAAAUGCGUAGAGAUCAUGAGGAAGACCAGUGGCGAAGGCGGGUCUCUGGACAGUUCCUGACGCUGAGGCACGAAGGCCAGGGGAGCAAACGGGG